rnacentral:rRNA from 1 species
AUGAACGCUGGCGGCGUGCCUAAUACAUGCAAGUCGAGCGAACGGACGAGAAGCUUGCUUCUCUGAUGUUAGCGGCGGACAGGUGAGUAACACGUGGAUAACCUACCUAUAAGACUGGGAUAACUUCGGGAAACCGUAGCUAAUACCGGAUAAUAUUUUGAACCGCAUGGUUCAAAAGUGAAAGACGGUCUUGCUGUCACUUAUAGAUGGAUCCGCGCUGCAUUAGCUAGUUGGUAAGGUAACGGCUUACCAAGGCAACGAUGCAUAGCCGACCUGAGAGGGUGAUCGGCCACACUGGAACUGAGACACGGUCCAGACUCCUACGGGAGGCAGCAGUAGGGAAUCUUCCGCAAUGGGCGAAAGCCUGACGGAGCAACGCCGCGUGAGUGAUGAAGGUCUUCGGAUCGUAAAACUCUGUUAUUAGGGAAGAACAUAUGUGUAAGUAACUGUGCACAUCUUGACGGUACCUAAUCAGAAAGCCACGGCUAACUACGUG